rnacentral:misc_RNA from 1 species
UACAGAGGCCCCAAGCGUUAGCCGGAAUUAUUGGGCGUAAAGCGUCCGCAGGCGUCCCGCCGCAUCUUUGGUGAAAGCCCACGGCUUAACCGUGGAAUGUCCAAAGAGAUGGGCGGGAUUGAGGCAGGGAGAGGUCAGCGGAACUCCUGGUGAAGCGGUGAAAUGCGUUGAUAUCAGGGGGAACAUCAAUGGCGAAGGCAGCUGACUGGUCCUGUCCUGACGCUCAGGGACGACAGCGUAGGGAGCGAAGCGG